rnacentral:rRNA from 1 species
UUGACGGGAACCCGCACAAGCGGUGGAGUAUGUUGUUUAAUUCGAAGAUACACGAAGAACCUUACCAGGUCUUGACAUACCAUUGACAGGCACAGAGAUGUGCUCUCCUUCGGGCAAUGGAUACAGGUGGUGCAUGGUUGUCGUCAGCUCGUGCCGUGAGGUGUUGGGUUAAGUCCCGCAACGAGCGCAACCCUCAUUGUUAGUUACUACCAUUCAGUUGAGGACUCUAAUGAGACUGCCAACGACAAGUUGGAGGAAGGUGGGGAUGACGUCAAAUCAUCAUGCCCUUUAUGACCUGGGCUACAAACGUACUACAAUGGCCAAUACAAAGAGAUGCGAAGCGGUGACGUGAAGCGAACCUCAGAAAGUUGGUCUCAGUUCAGAUUGAAGUCUGCAACUCGACUUCAUGAAGGCGGAAUCGCUAGUAAUCGCGGGUCAGCAGACCGCGGUGAAUACGUUCCCGGGUUUU